UGGGGAAUAUUGGACAAUGGGGGCAACCCUGAUCCAGCGACGCCGCGUGUGUGAAGAAGGCCUGCGGGUUGUAAAGCACUUUUAGUGGGGAUGAAAAGCCGAGGGCUAAUACCUUUCGGUCUUGACCUAACCCAAAGAAAAAGCACCGGCUAACUCUGUGCCAGCAGCCGCGGUAAUACAGAGGGUGCAAGCGUUAAUCGGAAUUACUGGGCGUAAAGCGUGCGUAGUCGGUUAUCUAAGUCGGGUGUGAAAUCCCCGGGCUCAACCUGGGAAUUGCAUUCGAUACUGGAUAGCUAGAGUUCGGCAGAGGGAAGCGGAAUUUCGGGUGUAGCGGUGAAAUGCGUAGAUAUCGGAAGGAACAUCAGUGGCGAAAGCGGCUUCCUGGACCAUUACUGACGCUGAGGCGCGAAAGCUAGGGGAGCAAA
rnacentral:rRNA from 1 species